GCGAGGCGCGCUGAGCUGGAGGGCUGAUGCAGAGCUGCUCUGAGGGCAGGCCAGCAGCAGCCGGGAGAGCGUUCUGGUCCCUUCCAACCCUGCGCGGUCGCCACGGCGCGGAUGCUGCCUGGAGACCCAGCGAUGCCUCGACCCCAGCGACCUGGGGUCCAGGCAGUGUGUGCUGUACACGCUAUGCGUAGGAGACCCCGGCUCUGGGACAGGAAUGAGCGGCCUGGGGGUGUGGCGGGGCUGGCACUUCAUUCAAACCGCAUCCUUGCCAGCUACCCACCCCGGGCGCACGGCCCUCUCUCACGAAGUCACUUUCCCCACUGAGCCCUGGCGCGGUCUCAGAGCCCUUCCUGAAGCAGCAGUUUCCGUCUGUGAGACAGGGACGCCCCCAGGGCCUCCACGCCGCAGUCCGUCCCAGCCUCAUCCAGCUGGGAGCACAGGUGGGCCGCCCAUGCCAGCUGUUCUCUAGCCUCUUGACGCCUGCGUGGGAAGCAAACGGACCCUCCGUGACUGGGCCUCAGAAGACAACACACCCCGGCCUCGCGCACACCUGCUGCCCGCCUCUUGCUGAGGCCGCCCCGGGGGUAGAGCACUGUGGUUUGGAUCCUGGUGAGCUUCGGGAUGCGAGAGUCACUUCCUGCCCGAGCCUCCGAGUGACAGCGUGGAGAUGUGCCACUCAGUCCCCCCACCAGACAGCACUGGGGUCCCUGCCGUGCAAGCCCUGGUGGCAGACGGCUGCAGAGGGCUGCCUCGCCCAAGGGUCCAGGGUACAGCCCAUCCACAAGGACUAACAGAGGUGGGUGACAAGGGCCCAGCCGCUUCUCCAGCUCGGGCCUGCUCUGAUGGGCCCUGUUAGCUCAGAGCCAACAGAGCUGGACCGGCUCAGGUUCCCAGGUGUGCAUCUCGGCGUGACUCCUCCCUCGACCUGGCCCUCCUCCCGCCUCCCCUCCCACGGACCUCAGCCCACUUCCGGACACGUUCUGCAAGUCCAGCCCCAUCUCUGAGCCGGUGUCCCUGAGAACCCGACUGUGACACUCCCUCUCUGCAUCCGUGAAAUGGGGAGGGUAAUUCCGAGGUUGCUAGGCUUGUUCAGGGUCCCAGUACCAAAGAGAGAGAGCAUGACUUUGGACCUUGUACCCAGAGGUCACCCCCUCUUCCCGGUGAGGACGAGGUGAGGACAGAAAACACCACCUCUGGCUAUGGCCCCCACUCCUCUUUCUGCCCCGCUCCCUCCAGCCCCUACAGGGCUGUGCCUGCCUGGCUCUCGCUCCAACUACCCCCCAUAGUUUUCAGCAUCAGGGCCAUCCACAUAUCCUUGGGGGCUCUCUUCUCUCUAGGGGGAUGCUACCAAAGUGUUCCUUUGCUGGAAUCCCAGCUAAGGAGGUGACACUGAUUGAAGCUUGCUCAGAUUCCGGCUCAUUCUGUGAGGCCAGAGGCAUCUCCAGGAGCACACGCCGGACCAUGGUCCAGAACCAAGGCCAGCACCGAGCCUUCCAACCCUCUCUAAAGAAAAGGUGUUCUUUUCUCUCUGCUCUUAAGAUGGUGCACCGUCGUUACAGAGAACUCCACCGCAGAGAAGAAGGGGUGGAAGUAAAAAUCCACCUGUGGUCCUAUCGGCCAGGGAGGGCCACCGUCAACAUCUGGGUGGUUUCAGGCCGACAUUCCCGUGCAGCUAUGCAUUCUGGGUAGGGGGACAUGGCAACAUGGCUGCAAUAAAACUGCGAGUCGCCCCGUCCCCUUUGAGUCUCCUCCCGGACCGUCUCUGCCCCUUGUCAGUAUCCGUGCUGAUGGCUGUCUAUCUUCCUGCUUUACGGAUGUUCCACAAAGACUUGACUAGGCAUGGUUUGGCCUGGCAGGCAGGCCAGCUGGGUUCCUGUCCCGGAUCCUCCGAGCAUGAAGAAUAUGCCUUUGUGGGGCCAGCAGGUGGCAUGGUGGCUAAGGCACUGCACUCCCACAUGGUCGGUGGCAGAUCGGACCCAGUGGCUUGAAGCUCAUGAUGAGCACAAACGCCAGAGCGGAAAGUAAAGGAGAAGGGAGCGCGGCAUGGCCAUCCCCCAUGGGAGUGAGGUCUCACUUCCCAUCUCUCUCUCUCUCUCUCUCUCUCUCUCUCACAGGUGAGUGCAUGUGCCCUACGGCAAAAACCUUCCAAAGAAAAAGUGUGGCUUUGGGUAAGGGAACCUCCCGAGCUCCACUUUUUCACUGAUUUAAUACACUCUGCAUAAAAAUUGGAUGUGGAGGUUCAGCGAGUGAUGCAUGGAGCAGAACUAGACAAAUGUGAGACAUGAUUCAAUACGAUUCCUUCUCAAGACUCUGUUAGCAUAGACCACGGGGCAAACUCAAAUGCCCACAGAGGCAAUGACGUGAAUGGCAACCCGGUCCUGGGCCACCGCGUCCUUGAGUUGCUGUUCGGAGACCUGGAAAAUGCCAGUCACCUCCUCAAACGACAGGGACUCCUGCGUCAGGCUCCUGCACCAGCUACCGAGCCGGAUUCCCGCAGUCUAGCUUUUUGUUUGUUUUUCUAACCCACUCUGCAAAUACAGGAUAAAUUUCACUUGCAGAAAUAACCCAGGUAUGACUGGUUCUCUAGUAACUUCUAGACAACACCCCAAAUCUAACAACAAAGCGGUUCCCGAACUGGCCGGCCUCAACUCUCCAACCUUCUUUCUCACUACUCGCUGUAAAAUUUGGGCGACGUUCCCACUCCAUGGUUUUCUCCGGGAGCUCUUCCUUUGUGGGCAUUUUUGUCAUGAUACCAACAUCACUGACAGUGUCACAACCAUAAGCACCGCCAUGAUAGUGUCUGUGUUGUGCCUCACAGGUCAUGCAUCGCUUUAGAGCAACGGGGAAGAGCAUGAGUGUUGGAGUCAAAUAGCUUUGUGUUCAAGUCCCGGCUCCGCUGUUCUCUAGUUACUGACGCUUCAACAAUUUACUCAACCUUCGACGUCUCAAUUUCUAAACAUUGUCAGAAGAGAAUCUACACUGAGGAAAAAGGAUGUUUCGAAAUCAUUUGACACCAAAAGCAUUGGGAGAAAAGGAAAACAUAAAUAAAUAAAUGAGACCAUGUCAAAAGUCAAACCUUCUGUGUACAAAGAACACAAUCAACAGUGUGAAAAGAUAAAAGUUAAAUGUGAAGGGACAGUGGCUGGCGUGGUGGUUAAGACACUGGACUCCCACAUGGCCGACCAUGGUUUGAGUCCCAGACCUGGUGGCUUGCUUUCUCACUUCUCUCUCUCUCUCUCGGUUUCUCUC